rnacentral:lncRNA from 1 species
UUUGCUCCCAGUGACUUUUAGUCACUGCUUUUAGCUGUUAAUUUAUGCAUUAGUGGAACACAUAACUCAGAACACAGGAAGGUUUUAACUUGGGGAUAAGGGGACCAUCUUCUUUCUCUCACGGACCCAUGGGAUGUCAAAGUCUCAGCCUCAGAUUAAGUGCAGCAGCCAUGUGGGAGAAAAGGCGCCAGCCAAACCAAGGAUGGGCAGUUGGCAGAGUCCCUUCAUCACAGCAAAAGCCUGACCACCUGCCCUCAAGAUUUUCUGUCACAGCGAUCAAUUAUUGA